rnacentral:lncRNA from 1 species
CUGGAUGACUUUUCAAGGGGAACCAUAUAAGACCCCAAGUACUUAGGAUAAAGUUGGAGAAUUAUGUAAUUUCUUUCCUUUUUACUUUAACGUUUUUCUUAAAAGAAAUUCUUGGUCCCUUUUCUUUCUUCUUCUCCUGUACCGACCAGGUCAUUGGGUGUGAUGACAUGUCUAGCACGUGACUAUGUGGGGCGUGCUCAGCAGAACACGUGGACAAG